UGGAUGGGCCAGGGCUGGUUCUCUCCCUUGAGCUCAGUUGGCCAGAAGGCAAAGGAGUUGCUUGCUAGUAGGAGACAUGGAGAUCUUGCUACCAAUGCUGCUCUUGAUAGCCUUGCUAUGUCUCGUGCCAGGACUGGACGGGGCCCCGAUUCCCAAGAUAUCAGAACGACCAGAGGGAUCAGGAUCACAGCGAUUGGAGACGACCGGAACGGAAGUACAUCACACCCCAACGACAACAGCUUUUUGGAGGCUGCGGAAUGACAAAAUUGCCACCAUCAUGCUGCAUAAGGACACCACCACCACUCAAGAGAGCACCACUCCAGAGGUUCCCCAGAAAGUGAUAUCUCUUUCUCUUCCA
rnacentral:lncRNA from 11 species